rnacentral:rRNA from 1 species
GACAGAGGGGGCAAGCGUUGCUCGGAAUCACUGGGCGUAAAGGGCGCGUAGGCGGGAUGGCAAGUCAGUCGUGAAAUCUCUCGGCUCAACCGAGAAACGUCGGCUGAUACUGCCGUUCUUGAGGGAUGCAGAGGAGACUGGAAUUCCCGGUGUAGCGGUGAAAUGUGUAGAGAUCGGGAGGAACACCGGUGGCGAAGGCGGGUCUCUGGGCAUUUCCUGACGCUGAGGCGCGAAAGCGUGGGGAGCGAACGGG